rnacentral:miRNA from 1 species
ACGAUCCAACUGUUUAAUUUAAAAUUCUUAAUGCAUAGAUCAAAUCUGCAAAUUUUUAGAAAAUUUAAAAAUCAUUUGAUACUUCAUUUCAUUAAUUCAAAUUGACAGAUAAUCAUAAAAUUAUUUUAUACAUUGAUUUGAUUUAAUGAAACGAAGUAUCAAAUGAUUUUCAAUUUUUUUUUAAAAAUUUGCAGAUUUGAUCUAUGCAUUGAGAACUUUAAAUUGAAUGGUUGAAUCAU